CCUACGGGUGGCAGCAGUGAGGAAUAUUGGUCAAUGGGCGCUAGCCUGAACCAGCCAAGUAGCGUGCAGGAUGACUGCCCUAUGGGUUGUAAACUUCUUUUAUAUGGGAAUAAAGUGCAGUAUGUAUACUGUUUUGCAUGUACCUUAUGAAUAAGGAUCGGCUAACUCCGUGCCAGCAGCCGCGGUAAUACGGAGGAUCCGAGCGUUAUCCGGAUUUAUUGGGUUUAAAGGGAGCGUAGGUGGGUUGUUAAGUCAGUUGUGAAAUAUUGCGGCUCAACAUUAAGAUUGCAGUUGAUACUGGCAGCCUUGAGAACAGAUGAGGUAGGCGGAAUGCGUGGUGUAGCGGUGAAAUGCAUAGAUAUCACAAAGAACUCCGAUUGCGAAGGCAGCCUGCUGGACUGGAACUGACGCUGAUGCUCGAAAGUGUGGGUAUCGAACAGGAUUAGAUACCCCUGUAGUC
rnacentral:rRNA from 1 species